CACCCCAUGGGCACAGGUGGGGGCCGUUGAGGGGUGGAUUGUGAUUGGUUGGAGCCUGGCUCCUCCCCUCCUUGAUUGGUAUUUAAGGGCUGGGAAGGGCAGGGGGCAGCAUCAGUUCCAGCUCGGUGCUCCUAUGGGAGCAUUGAGGGAGAGGAUUCUCCUUCCUGCUGCUUUCGAGCUCUGGAUGCCAUAUGGGAUGCGACUCUGCUUGGAGAUCCUUUCCUUUGGGGUCAAUGAGUAUCAGCCCCAGUGCUGGCUGCUAUGGGACGUUGUUCAUCAUUAUCUCCAUCUGGAUACGGAGCCAUUGGCUGCUGCUCUCUGGACUCGGUUCUACAGCCAGUUCUUCAUCCAUCUCAUCAUCUUCCCAUCCAGUUGGUGUCUUCAUCACUUGGACAUGAGGACACUGUGGGGUCCUGCAUCAGAGGCCUUGUUGAAGUCUAAGUAGAUGAUAUCAGCAGCUCUUCCUUCGUCUACUGAUGUAUCAGUGCCAUCAUAGAAGUCUAUGAGGUCGGUCAAUGAGGAUUUGCCCUUGGUGAGGCCGUGUUGGUUCUCCAUCAUCACCUCCUGCCUUCCAUGAGCCCUGGGUUCUUCUAUGAGAUCUCCAUCAUCACCUCCUGCCUUCUGUGAGCCCUGGGUCCUUCUAUGAGGAUCUCCAUCAUCACCUCCUGCCUUCUGUGAGCCCUGGGUCCUUCUAUGAGGAUCUCCAUCAUCACCUCCUGCCUUCCAUGAGCCCUGGGUCCUUCUAUGAGGAUCUGCUUUGUGGUCAUUCCCAGCACAGCAGUGGGACCGACGGCUCAGCCGUUCCUGGGCUCAUCCCUUCUACCUUCCUACAAAGGAGCGCCAUGUUGGCCGUGUUUCUGCUCACCGGACUGCACCCCAUUGUCACCACUUCUCAGUCUGCGAUGCAUCUCAUCUGGACUCAUAGACUGUUUGAUUUCAGGACCUUGGUUGGUCUUGCACUGGGUUGUUGACCUUAUAAGGUCCAAUGGGGUCUUAUGUGGGGCCCUAUUGGUUCCAAUGGGGUCUCAUGGGGCCCUAUUGGUUCCAACAUCCCUCCCUACCAAACCCAAGGUGAGUGCUGUGUCUAUGAGCUGCCCUGCAGAUGUGGGCAGUGCCUUCAUUGCUGUGUUGUGUCCAACAGGUUCCAGCAGAGCACAGAGAUGUGCGGCUCCUGAUGAGAGCAGCGAGGAACAGAAACCUGCAUUGCUUGGACCCAGCUUUGCUGAUGGUAACUCUCAGCCCAGCAGGUAAGGGCAGCACAUAGCAAUUGGUUUUUACUUGUUAUGUACUGAGAUGCGAGGUUAGUGUUUUUGACUUCAUUUUUGCACUCCGUGGUGUCCUAUGGGCUGUCUGUGCUUGUCCUACUGUGUUGUCUUUGUGUUUGGUCUUUGCUGUUGCUCAGCUGUUUCUUGCAGUGUUUUUCUUGCCCUCCAUUUUGACAUUCUUUGAGGCAUUCUCUUAGGCCUUGCCCUCCAUUUUGGCAUUCCUUGCGUCGUCCUCUUAGGCCUUGCCCUCCAUUUUGGCAUUCCUUGCGUCGUUCUCUUAGGCCUUGCCCUCCAUUUUGGUGUAUCUUGCAUCAUUCUUUUGGACUUUGCCGUCCAUUUAGGCAUCCAUUGCAUCAUUCUUUUGGACUUUGCCGUCCAUUUAGGCAUCCAUUGCAUCAUUC